CUUCUGUUGGGCUUUAUAGAAAAAAAGAAGAUGUUAGUAUUGUCGGUGUUUUUAGCGCAAAACCUACACUUACCCCGGGGUAAGUCUAAUGAAUAUACCAUGGUUUCUGAUUUGUUGUUUAAAUAGCCCCACUGCCAUGUCAUCCCUAAACUUUCAACCAAAAUUUCAAGCCUAAUUCAAAUUUGAAUUUUGAAAAUAAUAAUAAUUUAAUUUUUUUUUUUUGGUUUCCUGGUGUCGAUGGUUCCAAGGGAAGAGGUCAGGAGAGAAAUCUUGAUUUGGAGAGCCUGAAGGAGAGAAAGCUUGAAGGAGAGAGGAAGGUUGGAGGAGAGAAAAUUCGAAAGGAGAAGCCCAAACCACUACCUCGUCAACGAACCCCAACCGCCGCCGCCACUCACGCGAUACAAAUUGCCCAAAACCACCUCAACAACUCUAACCCUGACACCAACUUCUAUCACGCAUUACGUAUACGCCUUUAAAUGGUUGAAUUCGUCAAUGAAAACUCCAUAUUUGGAGUUCAUAUCUGGAGUUUUCAUGAUCGAAUUUCUCCAUUUCUCCAUAGAAUGGGGAAGGGUUGUUCAUCGCAGAUUUAUCCGAUAUAAAUUGGUGGGUUAGUUGUAAAUAUGGACAGGAUUUGGAUUAAUUCAGACCGAUUUGGUGGCGGAACAGGACCAGAAGCAGCCAAAUAGAAGGUUUGUUGAGAAUGCAGGUGAGGAGCGAUUGUAUCUGUGAAAGAACAGAUUGAAAACCUCAACCAGGUUACUUUUCCUUCUUUUGUGUGUGUACGCCGCCGUGUUAGUUUACUAUCAAUUUGGUUUGAUGGACUGUGUAACAGAUGUUAUUUUGUUAAUUAUUUGCUUCAAAGUUGAGAACUACCGGAUUUAACUAAAUAAAUAAAGAAGUAAUUUUAAUUAAUUAAUGUCGGAAAACUGUUUAACUGGUGAAUAUAGAGUCGCCGGAAAUGGAAGCACAUGCAUCAGGAUUUCGUCGUGUUCUACUCCUUCGCUUUGCGUCGCCGGUAUCUAGGCUGCUUACAUUUCCCAAGUCGUUCUUCAAGAACAUCUGUAAUUCUUCUUCAUAAGGAAACUCAUAUUGGGAGGCAUGCGAACCCUGGCGAUGUUCGGAGAUUAGUUAAAGUGCUAGUCAGAUAAACUAGUAAGUAGUAACCCCUAUUCUUCAACAUUCUACAACACCUGGUCAUGGUCUUCGGAAAUGUGAAGAAGCUUACACGGAAAUACGAUUAUAUUUUAGAAAUAAGCUUUGGUACUUAGAUAUAGUCUUAUUGUAUAAAUAUGUGGUUACAGGAAAAUUGUACAAAUGUGGACGAUAGUGUUUGGGGUAAAUUAUAUAUUGCUUGAAAUUAUUUUAGUAUAAAACGGAGUACUCCA